rnacentral:rRNA from 1 species
AGCGAACGCUGGCGGCAGGCCUAACACAUGCAAGUCGAACGGAUCCUUCGGGAUUAGUGGCGGACGGGUGAGUAACACGUGGGAACGUGCCCUUUGGUUCGGAACAACUCAGGGAAACUUGAGCUAAUACCGGAUGUGCCCUUCGGGGGAAAGAUUUAUCGCCAUUGGAGCGGCCCGCGUCUGAUUAGCUAGUUGGUGAGGUAAAGGCUCACCAAGGCGACGAUCAGUAGCUGGUCUGAGAGGAUGAUCAGCCACAUUGGGACUGAGACACGGCCCAAACUCCUACGGUAUGCAGCAGUGGGGAAUUUUGCGCAAUGGGCGAAAGCCUGACGCAGCCAUGCCGCGUGAAUGAUGAAGGUCUUAGGAUUGUAAAAUUCUUUCACCGGGGACGAUAAUGACGGUACCCGGAGAAGAAGCCCCGGCUAACUUCGUGCCAGCCGCCGCAGUAACAC